GACGUAGGGUGCGAGCGUUGUCCGGAUUUAUUGGGCGUAAAGAGCUCGUAGGCGGCUCGUCGCGUCGACCGUGAAAACCCGCGGCUUAACUGCGGGCUUGCGGUUGAUACGGGCGGGCUAGAGUUCGGUAGGGGAGACUGGAAUUCCUGGUGUAGCGGUGAAAUGCGCAGAUAUCAGGAGGAACACGUGGUGGCAAGGCAGCUCGCUGGGGACGUGACUGACGCUGAGACGCGAAAGCGUGGGGAGCAAACAGG
rnacentral:rRNA from 1 species